rnacentral:lncRNA from 1 species
GUGUUGAUGGUCUCCGUAUCGCUAAUGAGCUAUUUUUCAAAGUUUGCAUAUUUAAAAAUGCAUCACAAGACACUGAUGGAGACCGAUGUUGAUUGGUCAAAACGGUAACCAAGUGGUCAAUUUGCUUCGACACCAUCAAGCAAGAGUUUUCUUGUUGGCUUACUAUGGGUCUCACAACCAUUGCAAACUAACUCGUUAAAGCUUCUACCAGGUCUUUCCGACUAUCACUUAGAUGAAAUCUAACCUAUGCCACAGUCUCGCACAUCUAGUUAACUACC